rnacentral:rRNA from 1 species
AGUGAACGCUGGCGGUAGGCCUAACACAUGCAAGUCGAACGGCAGCACAGUAAGAGCUUGCUCUUACGGGUGGCGAGUGGCGGACGGGUGAUGAAUACAUCGGAAUCUACUUUUUCGUGGGGGAUAACGUAGGGAAACUUACGCUAAUACCGCAUACGACCUACGGGUGAAAGCAGGGGAUCUUCGGACCUUGCGCGAUUGAAUGAGCCGAUGUCGGAUUAGCUAGUUGGCGGGGUAAAGGCCCACCAAGGCGACGAUCCGUAGCUGGUCUGAGAGGAUGAUCAGCAACACUGGAACUGAGACACGGUCCAGACUCCUAAGGGAGGCAGCAGUGGGGAAUAUUGGACAAUGGGCGCAAGCCUGAUCCAGCCAUACCGCGUGGGUGAAGAAGGCCUUCGGGUUGUAAAGCCCUUUUGUUGGGAAAGAAAAGCAGCAGGUUAAUAACCCGCUGUUCUGACGGUACCCAAAGAAUAAGCACCGGCUAACUUCGUG